AUGCAUGAGUUAACUAAGGAAAACAUUGAGCGGAUGAAUGCUAAAUAUAAACUUGCUGGAGAUAAGGGUAGAAAACAUGUUGUGUUUGCACCUGGAGAUCUUGUUUGGUUACAUUUGCGUAAGGAUAGAUUUCCCGAUUUGCGCAAAUCAAAGCUAAUGCCACGUGCUGAUGGUCCCUUUAAGGUGUUAGAGAAAAUAAAUGAUAAUGCAUAUAAACUUGAGCUGCCUGCAGAUUUUGGGGUUAGUCCCACUUUUAACAUUGCAGAUUUGAAGCCUUAUUUGGGUGAGGAAGAUGAACUUCCGUCGAGGACGACUUCAUUUCAAGAAGGGGAGGAUGAUGAGGACAUCAAUACAAUUGUUACACCCACAGCCCCUGCUGCUAUACAUACUGGACCAAUUACUAGAGCUCGUGCACGCCAACUAUAUUACCAGGAAACAGACCUUCGUGGUCAGGUUGAUCGUGCUCCGGCGUGGUCAAUAACCUCUCGGAGUUGGUUUAGCGAUUGCUAA
rnacentral:rRNA from 1 species